GCCGUCCUGGUGCGCGGGGACAGUGAGGCUUGGCUCCUUUAUCAGUGACACCGGUCCCUGGGUCUUGCUGGGGUGAGAAGAACCAAAACAUUGUGGGUGAUGAGCUAAGCGGGACUGCUAAGGUUCACCUGUGCGUUUCCGCAGAGAUAACCUUAAUGGACAUGGCAAGGCUGUGUGACUUGGAGGCAGCUUUUUCCAUUGACGUUGCUCUCCCUAAAAUGCUUCGUAUUCCAAAAUAUUUCUAGAAAGACCUUGUAGGAUAAGGUUGAUAAAGAGUCCAUUGUAUACGUUUCCGGGUAGUUAAAUUAGGGAACAGUUUUCUCUGCCCCGCCCGUGGUUCACAGGUAGAUAACUGUCUCGU
rnacentral:lncRNA from 1 species